AAAUAUUCCUGUACCGGCACUAACUGCGAUGGGAGGACGGAGAAGGCUAGGACAGCAACCUAUUGGAUGGUUGUUUAAGCGUUUAGGUGGGAUUCUUAGGCAAAUCCGGGAAUCUAUUAACACUGAGGCGUGAUGACGAGGUACUACGGUACUGAAGUGUUUGAUGCCCUGCUUCCAAGAAAAGUCCCUAAGCUUCAGGUUAGUGCUGACCGUACCCCAAACCGACACAGGUGGGCUGGAUGAGAAUUCCAAGGCGCUUGAGAGAACUCGGAUGAAGGAACUAGGCAAAAUGGUACCGUAACUUCGGGAGAAGGUACGCCCACGCAAGUGGGCCGCAGAGACCAGGCCGCUGCGACUGUUUAUCAAAAACACAGCACUCUGCAAACUCGAAAGAGGACGUAUAGGGUGUGACGCCUGCCCGGUGCCUGAAGGUUAAUUGAUGGGGUUAGCGCAAGCGAAGCUCUUGAUCGAAGCCCCGGUAAACGGCGGCCGUAACGAUAACGGUCCUAAGGUAGCGAAAUUCCUUGUCGGGUAAGUUCCGACCUGCACGAAUGGCGUAACGAUGGCGGCACUGUCUCCAUCCGAGACUCAGUGAAAUUGAAAUCGCUGUGAAGAUGCAGUGUACCCGCGGCUAGACGGAAAGACCCCGCGAACCUUUACUAUAGCUUUGUAUUGAACUUUGAACCUACUUGUGUAGGAUAGGUGGGAGACUAUGAAACUGGAACGCCAGUUCUGGUGGAGUCGUCCUUGAAAUACCACCCUGGUAUGUUCGGAGUUCUAACCCAGGCAUCACAAUGCCGGGGACAAUACAUGGUGGGUAGUUUGACUGGGGCGGUCUCCUCCUAAAGAGUAACGGAGGAGCGCGAAGGUGUGCUAAUCACGGUCGGAAAUCGUGAGGUUUGUGUAAAGGCAUAAGCACGCUUGACUGCGAGACAGACAAGUCGAGCAGGUACGAAAGUAGGUCUUAGUGAUCCGGUGGCUCUGAAUGGAAGGGCCAUCGCUCAACGGAUAAAAGGUACUCCGGGGAUAACAGGCUGAUUCCUCCCAAGAGUCCAUAUCGACGGGGGAGUUUGGCACCUCGAUGUCGGCUCAUCACAUCCUGGGGCUGAAGCAGGUCCCAAGGGUAUGGCUGUUCGCCAUUUAAAGUGGUACGCGAGCUGGGUUCAGAACGUCGUGAGACAGUUCGGUCCCUAUCUGCCGUGGGCGUUGGAGAUUUGAGGGAAGCUGACCUUAGUACGAGAGGACCGGGUUGGACGAACCUCUGGUGUUCCUGUUGUCACGCCAGUGGCAUUGCAGGGUAGCUAUGUUCGGACGGGAUAACCGCUGAAAGCAUCUAAGCGGGAAGCCCCUCCCAAGAUGAGAUCUCCCUGACCCCUUGAGGGUCCUAAAGGGCCGUUGGAGACUACGACGUUGAUAGGCUGGGUGUGGAAGUGCAGUAAUGUAUGUAGCUAACCAGUACUAAUUGCCCGUGAGGCUUGAUCCU
rnacentral:rRNA from 1 species